rnacentral:rRNA from 1 species
GACGAACGCUGGCGGCGUGCUUAACACGUGCAAGUCGAACGGAAAGGCCCUGCUUUUGUGGGGUGCUCGAGUGGCGAACGGGUGAGUAACACGUGAGUAACCUGCCCUUGACUUUGGGAUAACUUCAGGAAACUGGGGCUAAUACCGGAUAGGAGCUCCUGCUGCAUGGUGGGGGUUGGAAAGUUUCGGCGGUUGGGGAUGGACUCGCGGCUUAUCAGCUUGUUGGUGGGGUAGUGGCUUACCAAGGCUUUGACGGGUAGCCGGCCUGAGAGGGUGACCGGCCACAUUGGGACUGAGAUACGGCCCAGACUCCUACGGGAGGCAGCAGAGGGGAAUAUUGCACAAUGGGCGGAAGCCUGAUGCAGCAACGCCGCGUGCGGGAUGACGGCCUUCGGGUUGUAAACCGCUUUCGCCUGUGACGAAGCGUGAGUGACGGUAAUGGGUAAAGAAGCACCGGCUAACUACGUG